rnacentral:rRNA from 1 species
AGUCGUACGCUUCUUUUUCCACCGGAGCUUGCUCCACCGGAAAAAGAAGAGUGGCGAACGGGUGAGUAACACGUGGGUAACCUGCCCAUCAGAAGGGGAUAACACUUGGAAACAGGUGCUAAUACCGUAUAACAAUCGAAACCGCAUGGUUUUGAUUUGAAAGGCGCUUUCGGGUGUCGCUGAUGGAUGGACCCGCGGUGCAUUAGCUAGUUGGUGAGGUAACGGCUCACCAAGGCCACGAUGCAUAGCCGACCUGAGAGGGUGAUCGGCCACAUUGGGACUGAGACACGGCCCAAACUCCUACGGGAGGCAGCAGUAGGGAAUCUUCGGCAAUGGACGAAGGUCUGACCGAGCAACGCCGCGUGAGUGAAGAAGGUUUUCGGAUCGUAAAACUCUGUUGUUAGAGAAGAACAAGGAUGAGAGUAACUGUUCAUCCCUUGACGGUAUCUAACCAGAAAGCCACGGCUAACUACGUGCCAGCAGCCGCGGUAAUACGUAGGUGGCAAGCGUUGUCCGGAUUUAUUGGGCGUAAAGCGAGCGCAGGCGGUUUCUUAAGUCUGAUGUGAAAGCCCCCGGCUCAACCGGGGAGGGUCAUUGGAAACUGGGAGACUUGAGUGCAGAAGAGGAGAGUGGAAUUCCAUGUGUAGCGGUGAAAUGCGUAGAUAUAUGGAGGAACGCCAGUGGCGAA